GGAUCAAUAUGUUGGUCGUGCCUUGGUACGUACUGGCAUUAUUGGUUUCUACCUUCUGAAGAACCUCGAUGUCAUUAAUUUGGUGUCUUGGGGAAUCAGGACUGUUACUUUGAAAAUUAAGAGUGUUUAAAGCAGGCUCGCGCUUGAAUACAUUAGCAUGGAAUAAUGAAAUAGGACGUUUGAUUCUAUUUUGUUGGUUUUAGGAUCAACGUAAUGAUUAAU
rnacentral:rRNA from 1 species